UACAGAGGGGGCCAGCGUUAUUCGGAAUUAUUGGGCGUAAAGGGCGCGUAGGCGGCUUUGCGUGUCUUUCGUGAAAUCCCUCGGCUCAACUGAGGACGUGCGGAAGAAACUGCAGGGCUGGAGUCCGGGAGAGGAUGGCGGAAUUCCCAGUGUAGAGGUGAAAUUCGUAGAUAUUGGGAAGAACACCGGUGGCGAAGGCGGCCAUCUGGACCGGAACUGACGCUGAGGCGCGAAAGCGUGGGGAGCGAACAGG
rnacentral:rRNA from 1 species